ACGCCGUAAACGAUGUCUACUUGGAGGUUGUGGCCUUGAGCCGUGGCUUUCGGAGCUAACGCGUUAAGUAGACCGCCUGGGGAGUACGGUCGCAAGAUUAAAACUCAAAUGAAUUGACGGGGGCCCGCACAAGCGGUGGAGCAUGUGGUUUAAUUCGAUGCAACGCGAAGAACCUUACCUACUCUUGACAUCCAGAGAACUUUUCAGAGAUGAAUUGGUGCCUUCGGGAACUCUGAGACAGGUGCUGCAUGGCUGUCGUCAGCUCGUGUUGUGAAAUGUUGGGUUAAGUCCCGCAACGAGCGCAACCCUUAUCCUUGUUUGCCAGCGAGUCAUGUCGGGAACUCCAGGGAGACUGCCGGUGAUAAACCGGAGGAAGGUGGGGACGACGUCAAGUCAUCAUGGCCCUUACGAGUAGGGCUACACACGUGCUACAAUGGCGCAUACAGAGGGCGGCCAACUUGCGAAAGUGAGCGAAUCCCAAAAAGUGCGUCGUAGUCCGGAUUGGAGUCUGCAACUCGACUCCAUGAAGUCGGAAUCGCUAGUAAUCGUGGAUCAGAAUGCCACGGUGAAUACGUUCCCGGGCCUUGUACACACCGCCCGUCACACCAUGGGAGUGGGCUGCAAAAGAAGUGGGUAGUUUAACCUUCGGGAGGACGCUCACCACUUU
rnacentral:rRNA from 1 species